GUGAGAGGGACCAAAACCAGAUGCAUUAACUGAGAAGUUGAAGAGAGUAAAAUGUUUUUUGUGUCUUACACAACUCAGUCACGUGUGUUCUCUGCAAUUUUGCAGAAGCAUCCGUCCUUUUUAAGCUUCUGCCACAACGUUUCACUUCUCUCACAAACUCAGCUUUCAACAACUCUUUUUUUAGUAUGGUCUUUAUUACUUGCUCCCUCUUCCACGGCCCACAUUGCUUUCAUUCAUUCAUUUCUUCUUUUCACACACAUCCACCCUUUGCCUAGUUCACGUACUACACAACACAAAACUCUUUUGACUUCACCAGUCUUUGCAUGAACUCUUAUUUGUGAAGAGACAAACUAGAAAAAGACUGGUUUUUUUUCUUUUAGUUUUAGUGAUGGAUUGUGCAGGUGGGUCUACAUUGGAGGAGCCACCAAAGAGUCCAAGGUCUCCACCUACUUGUGGGGAUUUGUAUGGCAAGAGGAGACAGAUGGUCAGGGUUCAAGUUUUGGAGAGAGAGAUUGGUCUGCUUCAGGAGGAGUUGAAAACUGUUGAAGAUCUUCAGCUAGCCUCUAGAUGCUGCAAAGAGUAUGGUUGAUGAGUUUGUAAGGGCCAAACUUGAUCCUUUAAUCACUAUAAAUCAGGAAACGCGUAAAUCCAAGCCCUUCUGGAAGAGAAUCUGGGGAAAAUUUUACUCCAAUCUUCUGAGGAUUUGUUGCUGUUGUGGUUGCCUGCAUCAUCUACAAACACAAACCUGCUGUGGCACAUGCUCGGUGUCAUGUUGCUCACCAUGUCCAUAUCCCAGUUGCUGCUCGUGCUUUGUAAAAGUCAAGUGUCAAAGCUGCUGCAAUUUUACAGGACUCUCAUGUCUACACAAUGCUUGCUGCUGUUUCAACUCAUCAACUUAUAAGUGUAAUAAGGUGAAUCUUUGUUCUAAUUUUGGAAAAUCCUGUCAUAAAACUUGCUGCUUAUAGUUAUCUAAGAAGUUAUGCCGUUUUAUCCUUUUCAACUUCUGAUAUAAUUAAAUUGUAGUUAGCACCAAUGUUGGCCAAGAUGAUGGAAACUUUCAGCUAUGUUAUUUAUGAAUCGUUUUCAUAGACUUCAGUCAAUGUGUGGCUAUAUGGAAUAACAAAUACGACUCUUAGUGCAA